rnacentral:rRNA from 1 species
GAUGAACGCUGGCGGCGUGCCUAAUACAUGCAAGUCGAGCGAACAGACGAGGAGCUUGCUCCUCUGACGUUAGCGGCGGACGGGUGAGUAACACGUGGAUAACCUACCUAUAAGACUGGGAUAACUUCGGGAAACCGGAGCUAAUACCGGAUAAUAUAUUGAACCGCAUGGUUCAAUAGCGAAAGACGGUUUUGCUGUCACUUAUAGAUGGAUCCGCGCCGCAUUAGCUAGUUGGUAAGGUAACGGCUUACCAAGGCAACGAUGCGUAGCCGACCUGAGAGGGUGAUCGGCCACACUGGAACUGAGACACGGUCCAGACUCCUACGGGAGGCAGCAGUAGGGAAUCUUCCGCAAUGGGCGAAAGCAUGACGGAGCAACGCCGCGUGAGUGAUGAAGGUCUUCGGAUCGUAAAACUCUGUUAUUAGGGAAGAACAAAUGUGUAAGUAACUAUGCACGUCUUGACGGUACCUAAUCAGAAAGCCACGGCUAACUACGUG